rnacentral:lncRNA from 1 species
UGGAAGAAAGAUGCUUUGCAGAUCAAGGAAAAGGGACGAUCUGAUUCCAGUGUUAGUAUAUGUUCGUGCCGCUGCUGAAUAUUCAUACCGUCCGGGUUUCCUUGCUUGCUGAAUAUGCGUACUGUCCGGGUUUCUUCUGCUUGCUGAACAUGCAUACUGUCCGGGUUUCCUCUGCUUGCUGAACAUGCAUACUGUCUGGGUUUCCUCUGCUUUUUCAAGACGCACUAUAUAUACUGCGCACCAUUUUCUGUUUGUGCCACCUCCAGUAGGGUGUUGUUACUGAGCAGAUUUUCGGUUGUUACUGCCUGUGUUUGCUACUCUCCUACUGUUCCUGUCAUUGUGUGCAUUUGCUUGUCAAGUGUGAUAAUAUUUCCUACGAUUUGUGGUUUUUAUAAGACUGAAAGUGAGUGUGUUUUCGUAUUCAAGCUACUUUUUCGCAUUACUUCUUUGAACUGUGUGCUGCUAAUUUUGUGUGCGCUUGUUGUGAACCUAUUUCAGCUGUGGCUGUUAAAUAAAAGAUUUGAUUUGUGAUUCAUACUCAAUGGUCAGGUAUUCAUUUCUAUCUGCACGUCUGUUUUAUUGCUAGGCUUGCUCUGUUCCAUGUAUCUAUUUUGGACAUUUGUGAGUGCUGUUUAUUUCUGGGCUUGCGGUCCUUAUUUUCUUCAGCGAUACACUGAUGCGAUGUUUUGAAAGGCUGCUACAGCAUGUUUAUGUAUGUCCUUAAGUUUUUAAAAUAUUCAAAAGCACACGGAGGAGGCAAUUGAUGAGGCCAUGUAACAAGCAGUUUCCAGGGAUUGACGAACUCAAGUAACAAUCUGUGACCAAAAUAC